CUUCUUUCCCCUCACUCUCUCUCUCUUUCUUUUUCUCUCUUUUUUUUUGGAGUCUUGCUCUGUUGCCCAGGCUGGAGGGCACAAUCAUGGCUCACUGCAGCCUCGACCUCCUGGGCUACAGUGAUCCUCCUACCUCAGUAUCCCGAGUAGCUGGGACCACAGGGGCGCACCACCACUGCCUGGCUAAUUUUUGUAUUUUUAGUAGAGACUGGGUUUUGCCAUGUUGCCCAUGCUGGCCUCAAACACCUGAGCUCAAGUGAUUCACCCACCUUGGCCUCCCAAAGUGUUAGGAUUACAGAAGUGAGCCACUGCGCUCAGUAGGAUCCUACUUCCGAAUGAGAGGAUAGGAUCACAUCGUGAGAGACACCUUAGAGAGGUCGUUCCGUCUUGGCCCUGCUGCUCACUUGCUUGAGGAAAUCCUUUUCCAACUCUGUGCUCUGUGCCUAAACCAGGAGCCUGAGAAAGGUAAUCCUUGAGGGUGUUUC
rnacentral:lncRNA from 1 species